GAUGAACGCUAGCGGCAGGCCUAACACAUGCAAGCCGAGCGGGAUUGUGUCUUCGGAUUUGAGUGAGCGGGGUACGCGUGCGUAACACGUGUGCAUAAUGCCUCUUUCUGAGGGAUAUCGUCUCGAAAGAGAGAUAAAAACUCCAUAAAAUAUCACACGACAGCGUUUAGUAUUGAUAAAAUCUUCAGAUAGUGAAGGUGGCGAUGCGGAACAUUAGCUAGAUGGCGGGACAGCGCCCCACCACGGCGACGAUGUUUAGGGGAUCUGAGAGGAUGGCCCCCCACACUGGUACUGAGACACGGACCAGACUCCUACGGGAGGCAGCAGUAAGGAAUAUUGGUCAAUGGGCGGAAGCCUGAACCAGCCAUGCCGCGUGCAGGAAGACGGCCCUACGGGUUGUAAACUGCUUUUAUACGGGAAUAAACCCAGAUACGUGUAUCUGGCUGAAUGUACUGUAAGAAUAAGGAUCGGCUAACUCCGUG
rnacentral:rRNA from 1 species